rnacentral:rRNA from 1 species
GACGAACGCUGGCGGCGUGCUUAACACAUGCAAGUCGAACGGUGAAGGGGCCUGCUUUUGUGGGUCCUGGAUGAGUGGCGAACGGGUGAGUAACACGUGAGUAACCUGCCCCCUUCUUCUGGAUAACCGCAUGAAAGUGUGGCUAAUACGGGAUAUUCUGGGUCUGUCGCAUGGUGGGCCUGGGAAAGAUUGCGCCUUUUUUGGUGUUUUUGGUGGGGGAUGGGCUCGCGGCCUAUCAGCUUGUUGGUGGGGUGAUGGCCUACCAAGGCGGUGACGGGUAGCCGGCCUGAGAGGGUGGACGGUCACACUGGGACUGAGACACGGCCCAGACUCCUACGGGAGGCAGCAGUGGGGAAUAUUGCACAAUGGGCGCAAGCCUGAUGCGGCGACGCCGCGUGAGGGAUGGAGGCCUUCGGGUUGUGAACCUCUUUCGCCAGUGAAGCAGGCCUGCCUCGUUUGUGGGUGGGUUGACGGAGCUGGAUAAAAGCGCCGGCUA